rnacentral:rRNA from 1 species
UGGGGAAUUUUGGACAAUGGGCGCAAGCCUGAUCCAGCCAUGCCGCGUGCGGGAAGAAGGCCUUCGGGUUGUAAACCGCUUUUGUCGGGAAGAAAUCUUCUGAGUUAAUACCUCGGGAGGAUGACGGUACCUGAAGAAUAAGCACCGGCUAACUACGUGCCAGCAGCCGCGGUAAUACAUAGGGUGCAAGCGUUAAUCGGAAUUACUGGGCGUAAAGCGUGCGCAGGCGGUUUUGUAAGACAGAGGUGAAAUCCCCGGGCUCAACCUGGGAACUGCCUUUGUGACCGCAAGGCUUGAGUGCGGCAGAGGGGGAUGGAAUUCCGCGUGUAGCAGUGAAAUGCGUAGAUAUGCGGAGGAACACCGAUGGCGAAGGCAAUCCCCUGGGCCUGCACUGACGCUCAUGCACGAAAGCGUGGGGAGCAAACAGGGUUAGAUACCCUGGUAGUCCACGCCCUAAACGAUGUCAAACUGGUUGUUGGGAAAGGUUCCUUCUCAGUAACGUAGCUAACGCGUGAAGUUGACCGCCU